rnacentral:rRNA from 1 species
UACGUAGGGCGCAAGCGUUAUCCGGAAUUAUUGGGCGUAAAGAGCUCGUAGGCGGUUUGUCGCGUCUGCCGUGAAAGUCCGGGGCUCAACUCCGGAUCUGCGGUGGGUACGGGCAGACUAGAGUGAUGUAGGGGAGACUGGAAUUCCUGGUGUAGCGGUGAAAUGCGCAGAUAUCAGGAGGAACACCGAUGGCGAAGGCAGGUCUCUGGGCAUUAACUGACGCUGAGGAGCGAAAAGUGUGGGGAGCGAACAGG